UCAGGACGAACGCUGGCGGCGUGCUUAACACAUGCAAGUCGAACGAUGACGAUGGUGCUUGCACCGUCUGAUUAGUGGCGAACGGGUGAGUAACACGUGAGUAACCUGCCCUCCUCUUCGGGAUAACCGCCGGAAACGGUGGCUAAUACCGGAUAUGAAUGCCUGCCGCAUGGUGGGUGUUGGAAAGAUUUAUCGGUGGGGGAUGGACUCGCGGCCUAUCAGUUUGUUGGUGAGGUAAUGGCUCACCAAGGCGAUGACGGGUAGCCGGCCUGAGAGGGCGACCGGCCACACUGGGACUGAGACACGGCCCAGACUCCUACGGGAGGCAGCAGUGGGGAAUAUUGCACAAUGGGCGAAAGCCUGAUGCCAGCGACGCCGCGUGGGGGAUGACGGCCUUCGGGUUGUAAACCUCUUUCAGCAGGGAAGAAGCGAGAGUGACGGUACCUGCAGAAGAAGCGCCGGCUAACUACGUGCCAGCAGCCGC
rnacentral:rRNA from 1 species